rnacentral:pre_miRNA from 13 species
ACCGAUACGGACAGUGGACUCCUCCAUAAAGUAGAAAGCACUACUAAACCGCCGUGUCCCGUGUAGUGUUUCCUACUUUAUGGAUGAGUGUACUGUGAGCAACGGGA